rnacentral:rRNA from 1 species
UACGUAGGUGGCAAGCGUUGUCCGGAUUUACUGGGCGUAAAGAGCGCGCAGGCGGUCGAUUUAGUCGCGUGUGAAAGCCCCCGGCUCAACUGGGGAGGGUCACGCGAUACUGAUCGACUCGAAGGCAGGAGAGGGUAGUGGAAUUCCCGGUGUAGUGGUGAAAUGCGUAGAUAUCGGGAGGAACACCAGUGGCGAAGGCGGGUCUCUGGGCCGAUACUGACGCUGAGGAGCGAAAGCGUGGGGAGCGAACAGG